AUUGAACGCUGUCGUCAGGCCUAACACAUGCAAGUCGAGCGGAGCGGCGGACGGGUGAGGAAUGCCUAGGAAUAUGCCUGGUAGUGGGGGAUAACGUCAGGAAACGGGCGCUAAUACCGCAUACUAUCAGAUGAGCCUAGGUCGGAUUAGCUAGUGGGUGGGGUAAAGGCCUACCAAGGCGACGAACCGUAACUGGUCUGAGAGGAUGAUCAGUAACAGUGGAACUGAGACACGGUCCAGACUCAUACGGGAGGCAGCAGUGGGGAAGAUUGGACAAUGGGCGAAAGCCUGAUCCAGCCAUGCCGCGUGUGUGAAGAAGGUCUUCGGAUUGUAAAGCACUUUAAGUUGGGAGGCGUUACCAACAGAAUAAGCACCGGCUAACUUCGUGCCAGCCGCCGCGGUAAUUC
rnacentral:rRNA from 1 species